UUUUUAUUUAUUUAAUUUUUCCCAAUUGUCCAAAUUAGUCUGUGAUUGGCCUUAUUGUCCAAGAAAUCAUACUUAUAUACAAAUAAAUGUGACUCUCAAAUAUGAUUUAAAUGGAUCAUUCCUCACUUGAUGGCGAAUUAUCCAUUUAAAUAUUUGCUGAGUCCUAAAAUUGAUGCCAGUGAACUUAUCAGCGGUUGGUUUUAAAAAAAAGCCCCAAAAAUCCCCUAUGAGCAAGCACUUGGCGACGGUGGGGAGGAAAAACUCCCUUUUAACAGGGAGAAACCUCCGACAGAACCAGGCUCAGGAAGGGGUGGCCAUCUGUCGCUGCCGACUGGGGUUCAACUGUUCACUGUGCAUCCUCCUUCUGACAGGAGCUUCCUACAGACCAGGUAUGAAUGAUGCCUGAGUGGACAUACAAAACUCACAAGUUCCUGGCUCCCACGGCUCCUCUGCAGCGGGUUAGUCGAAGAAGGAGGGGCAUCGCGAGGGGCGUCGGGGCGGGGACUGUGCCUCACUGCCCUCCCCUUCUCGAAGAAACCCGUCUUCAACCGAGCCGAGAGAGCCAGGAACUUGUGAGGUGUGCAUGUCCUGGUGAGCCUCCACCUUUUUAUAGGUGGGUGCAGCCUCGACUGUAUAGAGACAGACCAGGCCAGCUGCACCACAGACACUUCAAACCUCAUCUGAGGACAUAAAACACAAAUAUACAUCUAUAUUACUAUUAAAAGAAAAUAAAGUUAGGGUUCUUUUACAAUGUCAGAAGGAGGGAGGCACUAAGGCACCGCCUUCCGCCCCUGGACGCCCUCGCGGUGCCCCCCUCCUUCUGACAGGAACUUCCUACAGACCAGGUAUGAAUGAUGCCUGAGUGGACAUACAAAACUCACAAGUUCCUGGCUCCCACGGCUCCUCUGCAGCGGGUUAGUCGAAGAAGGAGGGGCAUCGCGAGGGGCGUCGGGGGGCGGGGGACUGUGCCUCACUGCCCUCCCCUUCUCGAAGAAACCCGUCUUCAACCGAGCCGAGAGAGCCAGGAACUUGUGAGGUGUGCAUGUCCUGGUGAGCCUCCACCUUUUUAUAGGUGGGUGCAGCCUCGACUGUAUAGAGACAGACCAGGCCAGCUGCACCACACAGACACUUCAAACCGCAUCUGAGGACAUAAAACACACAUAUACAUCUAUAUUACUAUUAAAAAAAAAUACAGUUAGG
ensembl:lncRNA